rnacentral:lncRNA from 1 species
GUUAGCUUUACGGCUCAGAAUCAGGUACAAAGUCUCUACUGGAUCCCAGGUGGGUAAGCUGGUCUCAGGUGGUGACUCCAUUCUGGCACCCCGAUCUUCCUACACCUUUGAAUGCUUUUCUCUCCAGUACACUAAGACAGUUCUGACAUUUCCACUUCAUUAGGCCACCUCUGGGUUCAUCAUUCAGCCAACUUGUCAAGAAAACGGUUGGAGCCAUUCCUGGCCCCUCAACAAAAACACUGAGCCAGUGAGCCAGUCUCAGUAGAUCCAGCAUGAGUCAGCUUUGUAUUCUUCCCGUCUCGCUCCCUACGUUAGGAUGCGUUGCCAUCUUACCCUCCAGGUUGCUGUUGAUAUGAAUCGGUUAUCACAGAACUCUUUUGGUGUGUACGACACCCCAUCACAUAUUUGGGACUUGUGGUCAAGAAGGAAGGAGAAAUGGCGAAAGCAGAUCUUACAAGGAUUAUCAGGCACUCACCCAACCAAUGAGGACCAUACGAUGAUGUGGUCAGUCACUGGACCGCCACAGUUUGAAUUGGUUGUCGCUUCUUUACUGACCUGUGCUGGGCAGAGCAGUGAAUUGAAGACGAAGAAGUUGCAUCUGGAGUGUCUCUGAUCAUAGCCGGGGGGCAUGGGAGGAGCCUACCCAAGACUGACGGGUGUUCUCUGGGCUUUCCUUGUGCUGAGCUUGUAUCGGGGUUGAACCCCAAAAGAAGGGGAUGGUCUGCGAAUGGCCACAGACCACGUCUAAGUAGUGACAGGGCACAAAUGCCGCGCUGCUUACUAAUGACCCGCAGGUGAACAGCGGGAUUGAGAUCACUUCCUGCCGCCAGUGUCUGGGGAAGGGACGGUAUUUCCAAGUCUGCUCUAAGAAGAUAAGACUUUCACACAGGUUGAAGGAGCAGACUUUUCCUUGACAGGAAUUUUGCAAGCAGCUGAGACACAGAGCAGGCCCUCUGCUGCAGGAUCGGGUGACUCCAGGCCUUAGAGCCUCUGUUUAGGGAAAGGCAAAACGCCCGAUGUCAAAAUGAAAAAAAAGAACCCAAAUAGAAAGUCUCAAACUAAUAUUUAAACUUUCUGAUAUUCAGCAUCUUUGUAACGUGACUGAAAUUUCUCUGCUUUAAUAUUCUCAAAAUAUGUCUUUAUUAUAUCCUUCUACAAAACCACAGACAAAAUCCUUCCUGACCUACUGACUGAUGUGUCUCCUGUCCCCGGCAAAUUUCUCCAAAAACACCGACUACGUGCCUUGUUUCCAUUCCCUUACUGUGCUCCGCCUUGUCAAGGCACUUUGGCCUGGCUUCUGCCCCAGCACUCCACGGACAGAGCCUACGGUCGGCUUGGCCCUCGUGCCAGCAGAUCAGAUGACAACAGCCAUGCAGCCUCUUGGACUACUCGGGAACUUCUGGUGAC